GACGAACGCUGGCGGCGUGCUUAACACAUGCAAGUCGAACGAAGUGGCUCACGGGUGAGUAACGCGUAAUCAACCUGCCCUUCAGAGGGGGAUAACAGUUGGAAACGACUUCUAAUACCGCAUUCUGAAGCAGGGGAUUGCGUCGGAUUAGCUAGUUGGUGGGGUAACGGCCCACCAAGGCGAUGAUCAGUAGCCGGUCUGGGAGGAGGGACGGCCACAUUGGGACUGAGGAACGGCCCAGACUCCUACGGGAGGCAGCAGUGGGGAAUCUUCCGCAAUGGACGAAAGUCUGACGGAGCAACGCCGCGUGAGUGAUGACGGCCUUCGGGUUGUAAAGCUCUGUUAAUCGGGACGCGGUACCGGAAUAGAAAGCCACGGCUAACUACGUGCCAGCAGCCGCGGUAAUAC
rnacentral:rRNA from 1 species